rnacentral:rRNA from 1 species
UACAGAGGUGGCAAGCGUUGUUCGGAAUUACUGGGCGUAAAGGGCGCGUAGGCGGCCUUCUAAGUCAGACGUGAAAUCCCCGGGCUUAACCUGGGAACUGCAUUUGUGACUGCAUCGCUGGAGUGCGGCAGAGGGGGAUGGAAUUCCGCGUGUAGCAGUGAAAUGCGUAGAUAUGCGGAGGAACACCGAUGGCGAAGGCAAUCCCCUGGGCCUGCACUGACACUCAUGCACGAAAGCGUGGGGAGCAAACAGG